UCUGAUCUUAUCUUAGCGGAGGAUCUACAGUGUAUUGUGAAUUAGCCAUGUCACACAGAGCGGGGCGGUUUUGGAAGCGAAUUCAUAUCGAGAAAUAAAAACCGUCGCGAUAUCCGCCGCGGUGAAUCCGGCUAAUGUGACAUCAGCCUUAAUGCGUUUGGCCGCUGUCAAUUUGAACUCAAGUAAUGGCUGACCGGCAAUGCUGACAUCAAGACGGGUCUAUGGUACUAGGUGAGGCCGUUUCGUCACUAAGUUGGUAGGGGAGCGGUAUAUGAAAACAGUACGGAAGAAAGCAGAAAGGGAAUUAUUUCCUUGAAGCGUGAAAGAGACAAACUGAUCACGAGCGAGCUUGAGUACAAGCGUAUUGUGUUUUGUUUACAAACAAAACACAGUAGACUUCCAAGAUGGCUGAAGAGUGGUUCUAGCAAGUUGACCCACCUUAGGAUAUACUUCUACACUGGAGAAAACCAUUAGUAAAUGCAGCUACCAAAUCUUUAGUAGUUGAAACAUUGAUACAAUUUACAUCCCUACCAAUGAUUCGUAAAUUUUACUUCAUAGCAUAAGUAAUCUCUAGUAUGUUCAUAACUAGCAACUGUGUGUGCAAUCACCAUUCCUCUAGUGGAAGAGAAUCGAUUCGGAGUUUCUAACCGCAGAAAACAAUAACAAAUGUUUUAGGCGGGCGUAAAACGAAAAGCUGUUAAGUGAUAAAGAGCGAAAUGUUUUUUGGACAAACUAAUCAUUGGAGGCUAAAAACGACAGAAAUCCACGUGCAUUGCGAUGAUGAAAUUUGAUUGAUAAUCCGACUAUUGUUUACUUUUUCCCUUCUUCCGUUUUCAACAGAUCACAACCAGCCGCAGCAAUGAAUUGCUCCCCCUCGAUCGACUCGUCGUCCCAGGAAGCGAUGGGUAUCAGUAUGGCUAAUCGUACCGCCAGCAGCGUGAAGCAACUGUUACGCACCGAACAAUCGUCAGCAAACAAAAAAUUACAAUUCGGACAAAAUCGGCUCGGAUGAGGAGCAGUAGCACCAGCGCAGAUCGUCUGUGCUGUUUCAGUUACACACUGUCUGCAGCCAAAAUUCUCACCAGCUGAUGGACAAUUUGUUCGAAAGUUCGAUAGUUCCAAUCACAUCGCCACAACAAUAAUAUACAAUAAACUACAGCGGGAAGCGUCCGCACUCGCUCAUCACGGCUAGCAACAUUCUAAAGCAGCUCUUUGCGAUGGCAGUCAGCGACGACUACCAACAGCAGCCCACAAACCCUACCAUCAAAGCACGAUUUUCGGAGCAUACCCGGUCCCUCAACAACAGAAAAUUCGCGUCCGGGGGUUAACGGAGAGUCAUUUUGUGUAUAAAAUUGCUCCAAAGUGAUUUCGUCCGCUUCCUUGCUGGAACCGUCGGCGAAGAUAACGGUACAAACGUGGUGUACGAGAACUAUUUUAGCAGAUCCGAUGUUCCGCUGCACAAGCGUCGAGGAGUGGCUGGUGGCUUCUGGUGCAAGAGCAACAACUGCGACACAGAAGAUUCAAAUCAAUCGUCGAUACAGCAGAAGAAAUAAUCCACCUGCAACCUAGACCCAAACCAAAUCAGCUGCCUCUACUGUCAAUGCAUGUUCCCCUCGGACAACUUCAGGAGACUGCUAUCUCGUCGAAUGAAUUACUCAUGACCGAUUCCGCCGCGAAGGAGUAUUUUACUGACAUUGACCUCCAAGGGAGAGAUGUUAGAAAACAGAAAAGAAAGGUCCCCGAUUCAAAGCUAUAAUGUGGCCGAGUGAAAAACAUACAACAUACAUGCAGCUUCCAUCGGGAUUACCAGUGAGAAUAGAAAUCCAGCUAUUCCAUGUGUUGAACGCGAUUGUUGCAUUUGGCAACGUAUUCGCGAUAGGGGCACCCGUGAUCAACGUGAACCACAUCAAGAAGAGCAAAGAGCGUACGACAUGCAUUAUCGAGGAUUUGUGUUUCGAUGUCCCAUCCGAGUAUGUACGACGUGGUUCCGAUUUCCAUCUUUAAAUCACCUUCGAAGUUGAGGAUGAAUUGAUGUAAUUUGCGAUUUGGGUCGCGUAGCGAGAACGACGAGGUGGAUAUAUGGGAAGCACUGAGAGUCCAACUCCCACUAACAUCAAACUUCUACGAAGGCGAUAAGUUGCGAGGGCUUGUAUGUUUGUUUGUAUUUUUACUCUCUAUUGUUUGACAUAUGAAUUUUUGGCGUAUUUGGAUUCUUUUUAACGGUGAAAAACACCUGCCGCACUCAAGGCCUUUUUCAUAACGAAACUCAAUUUUUGCAUUUCAACCAUGUGGUUCUGCCUAAGCUGUAGAGGAUGAGGAUGCCCGAAAAAGCAUGCUAUUGAGUACUGUAAUACAAAACUCACUCGUUAAAAGCCUACUGGAAAAGCUUUUCAAUAAUUAAAUAAAAAUAAAAAUAUUUCAAC